AGCAUUAUUGAAGACAUGUCCAAAUAGAGCUUUUUCAAGGGUUGAAAAAUGGGCAACGGUGGGUUCGUCCGCAAGAAACUGGUAUGCUCUUAUCCAAAACCCUAGCUUUUUAUCCCUCCAUCACGAUCGCGCCGCCGACGAAAACACCGACUGCCUCCUCUUCAAGCGGUUCCUCAACCGCGGCGAGGGCGACGACGUCCGCCUGCAGUUCUCAAUGAAUCUCGCCAACAUUGGUGAGAAACAAAAUGGGGGGUUUUAGGGGUUCAUGAUCAUCUCACCCUCCCCAUUCAUUCUCUCACCAUUUUUCACCCUUUUGGCUAUCCAAACAAGGGAGAUAAUUCCUUUUCCCUCGGUUGCUUUUCUUCUCCUGAUGCGAGGUAAUAUUGGAGUGUCUUGAGUGUUAGAGUUCUAGAUUUAUUUAUGGGUUUUGGGUUUAAGGUCAUUUUGUGCAUUUUAGGUGUUCGUUCAAAGUUCUCAAAGAAGUAGUUGUAUCAAUUUCCACAUUCUUGUGAAUCGUACUUCUUAAUUUUGUGUAUUGAUAGAUUUGUUUGAUGGAAGUGGGUUGCGGCCGCCGGAAAUAAUGGAGGUUAUAGGUUCUCGGUGUAGUGGUGAUGGAGGGUUUUGGAGGUGUUGCUGGUUGUGAUGGGUUUUGGUGGUAAUGGAGACCGGGUCAAGGAGGUAGUCGUGUAUAUUAGCCUCAGUCAUGUAUAUUAGCCUCGGUGAAAAAAGGUACUCUCUUAGAUGACAGAAGGGGUAUGUAUUAGACUUGUUUUGAUAACCCAUUUGAACAUAAUAAAAAAAGAAGGGUAAUUUUGUCAAAGAAACUCAUUUAUCAGGUCAUUUGUGCUUAGUUUAGUUCCCGGCAAUGCAGGGAUGUACAAAUAUUAUUUGUAUGGUUUGUGGCAUAAAUGCUUCUCCUCGAAACUAAAUUGUAGAAAAUUAAUAGAAUGUUCUUAGUAAAUUUGCAUUAUCUCCUCUGUCUCAACCAAACAAAAAAAAAAAACCCUUUCUUCAUUGUAACUUGGAUCAUCAAUCCCAUCAGAAACUUUACCAA